CUAAUCUAACCCUUCCAUUGGAGGCAAGGAGACCUUGUGACAUGAGGCAGAGGUUUUCCCCAUCCCUGGGCCCAGCAAAGAGUAUAGGAGUCAUUGUAAAGCCUUGCGGAAUUGGUGCUGUCCGUCCACCCCCUUCUCCUCUCGAGGCUGGUUCCCCUCCUUGGCUAGAAGCAGAUCCAGCUCCUGUCCCCUGGCUCCCACCCUGUCUGGCCUCUGUUCUCCUUCCCUCAUAAGGCUGCCUGACUGCUCUGGAUCUCUCACCAGGUUUCUGGCCUUCGGGGCAGAGCACUUCUCCCCAGUGGCCCCCAGGUGGCGAGCUCGGCCUGUGCUGCUAUUUCAGCCUUCCAUGGGCGGCUGGAGAAAAGCAUUCGUUCAAGGAACGGGGGGAAUCUGCCUAUCUGUGCCCAACCCCAGCUCCAACCCUCGACCCUGGCCCAGAUCCUAGGAAGUCAACCAUCAGCGCUGAGAAUCAGCACAGUGUGGUAAGAAUUCAGGACCUGGGUCCACAUACCCACUCUGCUGCCAAUGUGACCUUGGGCAAAUCAUCAAACUCCUCGGAUCCUAAAUUUCCACAUCUGUAAAAUGGGGAGGUUGGAGUAGACUGAGGUCCAGUUAAUCUCUAAAUUUAUGCUCCUUUGAUAAUGAUAGCUAACAUUUAUAUAACGUUUUAAAGUUUGCAGAGCAUUCAACAUACGAUAUUCUUACAACAACCUUGUCAGGCAGGUGCUAUUAUUAUUAUUAUUUCCAUUUUGCAGAUCAGGAAACUGAGGCUGAGAGGUUAAGUGGUUUAUCUGUGGUCUUCCAGCUAGUAAGUGUCAGAGGUGCAAUUUGAACCCGGGUCUUUCUAAAUCCCAAGUCAGGCACUCUAUCUUCUAUUCCAGGCUGUCUGUCAUGAUGCCCCAGAGGUAUCUGCAUUCAUAUUUGUAUAGACAUGCUCACUGAGUAUGGAACUAGGCAUGACAAUGUCUCUCCUCUCUUUCCCCUGCUCUUCCAGUGGCUGACAGACAAGAGAGAAGGAAGUAAGUGAUGGGGGGGAUGGAGAGCCUGUACCCGGGAAAUAGACUGUAAGCUGCAGAUUCUGCUCACACGCUCUUAAGCUGAGCAAAGCAAAGGCACCACAGCCUGCUCCCCAUGCAUGGGGUGAGGAAAGUUUCCCCACCCCCACACCCCCAGCUCCCAGCAGAUUCUAGAUCCUCCUGCCUUACUCAUUCAGUCAUCAAGGGAAGGCCUGAUAUAUUUGGGUAACCUGAUCACUGAUGCACAGUGUCUGAGCUCCAGGAGGCAUGGAGUAAUGGUGAGAGAUGGGAUGUUGGGACCGGCUGGCUCCUUCUGCUCAGAGAGCCAGGCCUCCAG
rnacentral:lncRNA from 1 species